UUUAACGAAACAUAUUCAAAGUCUAUUUUCUUAGAAAUGAAGCUUUAAACGAAAAAAAUUUUAUUCUACACUUUCCACUUAUUUUUGCGCAUAGAAUUAUCUCUCGCGUCAAUUAUUCAAGCGUUAAUUCCAGUACGGAAUUAACUAAAUUCAGGUAUACUUGAUAAAUUUCCAAACUCGAUUUUCUCGAAACGAAAGCUUUGAUGAACAAAUUUUAUUCUUUCGUUUCGACUCGUUUUUCACGUUAGGAUCGCCUCGUGCUCUGUUGUAACCACCAAUCGCGAGAUACACCCUGUGUACAAUACAUAUACAUUAUUUAAACACGAUUUCAUUGUAUAAAUAGUGUUACGAGAUUAGUAAGGCAGACGAUUUACCUUCUUUUUCGAUUGAGUCAUUAACCUUGAAAAAGAAACUUCUUUAGAGAAAGUUUCUGCCAAUAUGCAUAGCAAUAUCGGCCGCACAUUUUCUCGCGUUUUGCUUCUGAAUUGAUCUAAGUCUCGCAAGCGCACUGAGUUUAUACAAAACUUGUAGAAAACUUAAAAAUGUAAAAAAGUAUAGGGUGUUAAAAGUAUACAAAAUAUCUGAAGUUACAUACCUGUAGAUUCGAUUUCCUUGGUUGCAUUUCACGAAUGUUUGAACCUGCGAAUAAACGUUCGCAAUCUGCUCGUAAGAUUUUCCAGUCCGUCAAACUUUUGAAAGAAAAUUUUCAAAAUCGUACCAAGCAAUUUCCUGCAAUUUUGUUGGAGUUCAGUCUUUUUUUCGGUCGCAGAGUUAAAUACUUUCACAAACAAACGGGAAAUCACUAGUGAACUCUGGUUGUGAGAUUCGUCAUUAAUCAUACCUACGCUCGGCCGAUAGAAUUGGAACGCCGUGUAUCGAGAAUUUGCGUUAAUUGCACGGCGCCAUAACAACGGCGUGUUCGCUUAUGGAAAGUGCGUGAAUCUUUGACGAGGCCGUGUAUCUUAUUUAGGCUUCGUAUUCGCUAGGAUUAUAUUGGCCUAUGGAAAACGGUCGUGCGGUUGUUUCGUUGCGUGCUGAUGCGAGAGUUUUUCGCCUUUUACAUUUAGGUUGGAUAAGGAAAGUCACGGUACAAUAAGCGCGAAACAUGUUAUUUCAAAAUACAUCGUCUUGCCACGCAGGAUAGACGUAGUUCUGCGACCUGCAUUAUCGAGUGAGAGUGAGAGAGAGAGGGCGCAGUUUUAAUCGGUUUGAAAUCGUGCGAGGUCACAGCACUCUAUACGUUUACCUGAGAUGAACGGAUAAAAUGUAAACCUGGUAAAACGUAACUAACCUGUGUACACGUAUAGGUUUACACGUUUGCAGCGAUGGUAUACAUUUCGAAAAAAAUUUGCGACAGAAGGAACAUUAAUAAAGUUGUAGGUACUUGUUGAAUAUACAUGUUAUAAGUAGCGUUACUUAAUUGCUGGUUUACUAUAUGGAACUACUGCGCAAUAAAAGAUACGAUCAAGAACAUUAACACAAGUACACUUUUUUCUUUUUUUAGCAAAAGUACUUGUCGAAUCUUUUAUUCAUCUUGCAGUUGCAGGAGAAAUUCUACGUGACAUAUCGAUCUGUAAAGAAAGUUGAAUCGUGAAAAUGAGAAAAAUUUGAAAGAUUUCAUGUAUUUUAUAUUAAAGUAAAGUACAAAUGAAUAAUACUCGACGAUGAAGGUAACGCUGUGUUAUUCAACUCAUAUAAUAUGAAGAAAGAAAGCUGCGAUCGAUACUCCAAGACACAAGCAUCUCGAGUUAAGAAUUCGUGUGAACGUAUGUACGUGGAGUAGACGCGAUCAAGUCGAAGGACGAUUGAAAGGAGAACAGCUGCACUCGGCCCAUUAUUUAUAUAUGUGCGUUUCAACUUCGUUGGGUAAGCUUGGCACGCGUGACUUCUCGCUCCUUUAGUGCACGUACACCCGUUAGAAUUUAAUCGGACACUUCCUGCUGUCGCGAUCGUGAAAGUAUCGGACAAGUUCCGCUGAAAAUACGAAACUGGUAUUGGCCAUAUAAGCGCUCUCGAAUUACGUCAAUAGAUCGAUGAAUUUGCCAACAACCGGCCGCGACAGCUGAGAAUAUCGAAUCCGGUUGGUCUCACAAUCAGCGGCGGAAACUGUAAGACAUAUGAGCAAGUUCCGACAAAAGAGGGAUAACUUGGAAUUACGUUAAACAUUGACGAAUUUCCAAUGAAUUUUACCGCUUGAAUUGUCGAAAUGAUAAAAUACGAUGUCGAUACGCUCGUAACUUUAGUAAAAGUUUGAAUGUAAUAGUAGACGUAGGAGUAUGCAGUAUGAAAUUAGGUAUAUACAAAGUAAUAUUUUUGUGUUGACAGUUAAUCACACAAUAUUCGUGCUUAUUAUUAUGCUUCUAAUAUAAAUCAUUUAUAACGUGAGACAAAAAAUAUGAUCACUGAACUGUAUCGUUCAAACUUGAUUAGUAACAUUUGCAUUUAAAGUUGAUAUUGCUCAAUAUGAUAAUAAGAGA